rnacentral:SRP_RNA from 1 species
GCCAACCGGGUGUCUGCACUAAGUUCGGCAUCAAUAUGAUGACCUCCCGGGAGCAGGGGGCCACCAGGUUGCCUAAGGAUGAGUGAACUGGCCCAGAUCAGAAAGGGAGCAGGUCAGAACUCCCACACCAACCGCUAGUGUGACUGUGCCUGGGC